AUGAACGCUGGCGGCGUGCUUAACACGUGCAAGUCGAACGGAGUUUGUAAGUGGAAGCCUUCGGGUGGAAGCUUACUUACUUAGUGGCGGACGGGUGAGUAACGCGUGGAUAACCUGCCUUACACAGGGGGAUAACAGUCGGAAACGACUGCUAAUACCGCAUAAGCGCACAGUGUUGCAUGACACAGUGCGAAAAGAUUUAUCGGUGUAAGAUGGAUCCGCGUCUGAUUAGCUAGUUGGUGGGGUAACGGCCUACCAAGGCGACGAUCAGUAGCCGGCUUGAGAGAGUGAACGGCCACAUUGGGACUGAGACACGGCCCAAACUCCUACGGGAGGCAGCAGUGGGGAAUAUUGCACAAUGGGGGAAACCCUGAUGCAGCGACGCCGCGUGAGUGAAGAAGUAUUUCGGUAUGUAAAGCUCUAUCAGCAGGGACGAUAAUGACGGUACCUGACUAAGAAGCCCCGGCUAACUACGU
rnacentral:rRNA from 1 species